rnacentral:rRNA from 1 species
GAUGAACGCUGGCGGCGUGCCUAAUACAUGCAAGUCGAGCGAACGGACGAGAAGCUUGCUUCUCUGAUGUUAGCGGCGGACGGGUGAGUAACACGUGGAUAACCUACCUAUACGACUGGGAUAACUUCGGGAAACCGGAGCUAAUACCGGAUGAUAUUUUGAACCGCAUGGUUCAAAAGUGAAAGACGGUCUUGCUGUCACUUAUAGAUGGAUCCGCGCUGCAUUAGCUAGUUGGUAAGGUAACGGCUUACCAAGGCAACGAUGCAUAGCCGACCUGAGAGGGGGAUCGGCCACACUGGAACUGAGACACGGUCCAGACUCCUACGGGAGGCAGCAGUAGGGAAUCUUCCGCAAUGGGCGAAAGCCUGACGGAGCAACGCCGCGUGAGUGAUGAAGGUCUUCGGAUCGUAAAACUCUGUUAUUAGGGAAGAACAUAUGUGUAAGUAACUGUGCACAUCUUGACGGUACCUAAUCAGAAAGCCACGGCUAACUACGUG